UACGUAGGUGGUAAGCGUUGUGCGGAUUUAUUGGGUUUACAGGGUGCGUAGGCGGCCUGCUAAGUUAGUGGUGAAAUCACGCCGCUCAACGGUGUGCUCGCCAUUGAUACUGACGGGCUUGAGCGCGGUCGAGGGAGCUGGAAUGCGUAGUGUAGCGGUGACAUGCAUAGAUAUUACGCAGAACGCCGAUUACGAAGGCAGGCUCCUGGGGCGCAACUGACGCUGAGGCACGGAAGUGUGGGGGGCCCAAAGG
rnacentral:rRNA from 1 species